GGGCCCGCACAAGCGGAGGAACAUGUGGUUUAAUUCGAUGAUACGCGAGGAACCUUACCUGGGCUUAAAUGGGGAACGACAGCGGCCGAAAGGUUGCCUUCUUCGGACGUUCUUCAAGGUGCUGCAUGGUUGUCGUCAGCUCGUGCCGUGAGGUGUCGGGUUAAGUCCCAUAACGAGCGCAACCCUUAUCGUUAGUUGCCAGCGGGUGAAGCCGGGGACUCUAGCGAGACUGCCACCGUAAGGUGUGAGGAAGGUGGGGAUGACGUCAAAUCAGCACGGCCCUUAUGUCCAGGGCUACACACGUGUUACAAUGGCCAAUACAAAGGGCAGCUACCCCGUGAGGGGAUGCUAAUCUCUAAAGUUGGUCUCAGUUCGGAUCGAAGUCUGCAACCCGACUUCGUGAAGCUGGAUUCGCUAGUAAUCGCGCAUCAGCCAUGGCGCGGUGAAUACGUUCCCGGGCCUUGUACACACCGCCCGUCAAACAAUGGAAGCUGGGGGUACCUGAAGUCUGUAACCGCAAGGAGCGGCCUAGGGUAAAACUAGUAACUGGUGUUAAGUCGUAACAAGGUAGCCGUACCGGAAGGUGUGGCU
rnacentral:rRNA from 1 species